GGUAGAUGGCAUAUUGGUAAUUAUGAACAUCAUCAUAAUCUAAUGAGUCGAAAUCAUUAAUUUUUUUUAAACUAAUUACCAUUUACUCUGUUCAUUCUAAUCCUUUUUGUGUUCAUUCAUAUGCUAGGCCUAGAGAUAGAAUUGUGACUAGAAUAAAGGCUAUAAUUAUUAUAGUAGAGGUUUUAAUUGUUUGAAUUGCUCAUGGUAGUGGAAGUAGAAGAGCAAUUUCUAGGUCAAAUAAUAGAAAUGUAAUUGCUACCAAGAAAAAUUUUAUUGAGAAUGGUAGACGUGCAGAGCUUGUAGGGUCGAAUCCGCAUUCAUAUGGAUUUGCUUUUUCUGAGUACAGAUUUAUUUGGGGGAGUCAGAAUGCAACUAGAAUUAGCGUUAGGGAUAAUAAAAUAUUAAUGAAGAUAACAGUGUACAGGUUAAUUACUCUCUUCUGGGUUUAUUCAGAAUCUACUAAUUGGAAGUCAGUUAUAUUAAUUAUACUAAGGGAGUAAGAUCCUCAUCAAUAAAUGGAGACGUAUAGGAAAAGUCAGACUACGUCUACAAAAUGUCAGUAUCAUGCUGCGGCUUCAAAUCCGAAGUGAUGUUUUGAUGUGAAGUGAAAUUUUAGUUGUCGUAGUAGGCAAACAAUAAGGAAUGUUGAUCCAAUAAUUACAUGGAGUCCAUGGAAUCCAGUAGCC
rnacentral:lncRNA from 1 species